CCAAAGGCUCUUUUCAGAGCCACCCACGUUCUCAGAAAAGAGUUGU
rfam:Pelecanus crispus contig29051, whole genome shotgun sequence.